UUUAGACUUCAGCCAAAACAGCAACCCAGUCAGUAAUUGGGGUUUAGGGUUUUCGGAUCCUCACGAAGAAGAAGAAGACGAAGAAGAAGAAGAAUGGUGAGGUUAACAGCGGACCUGAUAUGGAACAGCCCUCACUUCUUCAACGCCAUUCGCGAACGCGAAUUAGAUCUCCGAGGCAACAAGAUUCCUUUGAUAGAGAAUUUAGGUGCCACUGAGGAUCAGUUUGACGCCAUUGAUUUGUCUGAUAAUGAGAUAGUUAAGAUUGAAAAUUUUCCUAACUUAAAUCGCCUUGGGACUUUGUUGAUUAACAACAACAGGAUCACCCGUAUCAACCCCAGCAUUGGAGAAUUUCUUCCAAAAUUGCAUACAUUGGUUCUCACAAACAAUAGGCUGACAAACUUGGUUGAGAUUGACCCCCUUGCAUCGCUUCCCAAGCUGCAAUUCCUUUCUUUGCUGGACAAUAAUAUUACAAAGAAGCCAAACUACCGCCUCUACGUCAUUCACAAGUUGAAAUCAUUGCGGUUGCUGGAUUUCAAGAAAAUCAAACAAAAGGAACGUGAUGCUGCACAUAAACUUUUUGCAUCAAAAGAAGCUGAAGAGCAAGCCAAGAAAGAAUCUGUGAAAACAGUUGUGCCUAGCAAGGUGCCAGCUGCACCUCAGGUUCCAAAAGAACAGCAAGCACCUAAGAAAGUGGCACCUACACCAGAGCAAAUCACUGCUAUCAAAGCUGCUAUUGUGAAUUCCCAAACUCUUGAGGAAGUAGCCAGACUUGAAGAGGCAUUGAAGACUGGGCAGCUUCCUUCAGACCUAAUAAUAACUGAUGAAGAGGAUAAAAUGGUGACAGAUGAGCAAACUGAAGCUGGUGAAAAGGAGAAUAAUGAUGAAUCCAUGGGGAUGGAACAGGACUAGGUGCAUGUAUUUAUACAAGUUCUGAUGGUUUUCGAAGAUCUUGUAUUCUUCUAUAGAUGAGAAAUUGAAAGGGAGGUAAAUUUUCAAUCCACAAACUGCAGAUGUUGAAGGGGGCUUUGCUUUCAUUUUUAUUUUAUUCUUCUAUUUGUAGUUGCUUUGUCUAAUUAAUAUGACUUAAUUUCAAGAUGCUUCUCAAUACACUCCCAAUCAAUAGAUGGAGAAUCUUUUAAUGUUGACUUAUUUAGUUAUUUUGCCCAAGUUGAAGACAGAUAACAUAUUCUCAA